CGGCGACUGCAGUGAGACGUGUGUGAUACUCGCGGGCAUCGGCCGGAGCGCACCACCGGUAGGCGGCCACGAGCUCUCGAGCGGCGGCGGUGCAAGUGCAUAGAUUAAACAUACAUGUAUGUUUAAUCUAUGGCAAGUGUGCAACGGACCCGACGCCCGACGGAGAUUUUUGUCGUUCCGCAUUCGCAUUCGCGUACUGUACUACGACUUCGUACGGCUGUCCACCCCUCUCCACCACCUUCUUUUUGAGACCCGUGGCGUGUGUGUGUGUGAGUGUGCAGGCGCUGGCGCGCGCGCGUUGGUGUGAGUAGUUAGUAGUGUGUUUGUGUGUGUGUCGACCGUCGGUGUGCUUUUGUGUGGUCGGCCUGUCGUACGACAAUAAUUAUAUCGCGACGAUAAUAAUAAUGUGAUGUGCGCGCGGGCGACCUAGUUUCGCGUUACGUACACUUACGUGCCGCCGUCGGUUAAACGACCGUUGUCGUCGCCCAGGUGACUGAUACCCGUCCGACACCAUAACACACAAUAAACGAUAAUAAUAAAUAAUAAUUGCAAUACCUAAUGUAUAAAUAAUAUUUCACGGACCGACCACCACCACUACCACCGCUGGCGCCUGGCCGGUUUGUAGUUAAAAAACUACCACCACUGAGGUACCACACUCCCCCGGACUCUUCGGUCGGACGGUUUUGUUUUUUUUUCGAUUAUUUCGUUCGACCCGACGGGAAACCAAACGGGGCGACAAUAAUUUACAUCACGACGUCGCAGGGUCGUCGUUAUCCAAUCUGCCGUGGUCGUCAUGUCCGACGAACUCCGCGGCCGCUGCCGUGGCUGCGAUGACGACGGCCACCACGGUGACCGCGGUUGUUACGUGUCUUACGGGAUCGCGGCCGUCGUGACUGCCGUGAAAACUGACAAGUGAUAAUCGUUUCCACCGAGUCUAGGCUGCCGACCGUCUUAGCCUAGGUUGUUGAUGUGGUGUUAAAUCGGUUGUUGUUGUCGUCGUCGCCGCCGCCGCCGAUUGUGGUGGUUGUCCGACACGUCGUUCGGCUCUUACCACGGUAUCGUAUUCUUGCGAUUUCCUUCAAAUCGCCAGUCAACCGUCGUCGAGUUCGUUGGCACGGACGCCCGUCUUGUCCGUGUUCGAAUCGCGUGUGAACUACCCUCCGUGCACGAUGGCCGACUUGGAAGCCGUGCUGGCCGACGUCAGCUACCUGAUGGCCAUGGAGAAGAGCAAGUGCACGCCGGCGGCCAGAGCCAGCAAGAAAAUCGUCUUGCCGGACCCCAGUGUUCGAAGUGUAAUGCACAAAUACCUGGAAAAAAAAGAAGAAGUUAAUUUUGAUAAAAUCUUCAAUCAAGUUUUAGGUUACUUGUUAUUCAAAGAUUUCUGUGAACAUCUACCUGAAGAUGAGCAAAUACCUGAAAUUAACUUUUAUGAUGAGAUCAAAAGGUAUGAAAAAUUAGAAUCAGUCGACGAAAGAAGAAAAUUAGCUAGAGAUAUUUAUGAUAAUUAUAUUAUGAAAGAACUUUUAUCACAUACUCAUAAUUAUCCCAAAGAUGCAGUCGCUCAUGUUCAAAAAUAUUUGAUGAAAAAUGAAGUGCCUGUUAAUUUAUUUGAACCUUAUAUUAAAGUAAUAUUCAAUCAUCUUCGGGAAGAACCUUUUAAAAAAUUUCUAGAAAGUGAUAAAUAUACUAGAUUUUGUCAAUGGAAAAAUUUAGAACUUAAUAUUUCGUUGACCAUGAACGAUUUUAGCGUUCACCGUAUAAUUGGUAGAGGUGGUUUUGGGGAAGUUUAUGGUUGUCGAAAAGCUGAUACUGGCAAGAUGUAUGCAAUGAAAUGUCUUGAUAAAAAGCGAAUAAAAAUGAAACAAGGCGAAACACUUGCCUUAAAUGAACGUAUUAUGUUGUCUCUAGUCAGUACGGGGGUAGACUGUCCUUUUAUUGUCUGUAUGACGUAUGCAUUUCAUACACCUGAUAAGCUUUGUUUCAUAUUAGACCUAAUGCAUGGGGGUGAUUUGCAUUAUCAUUUAGCACAGCAUGGUGUAUUUAAUGAACUUGAUAUGAAGUUCUAUGCUGCUGAAGUAAUUUUAGGCUUAGAGCAUAUGCACCGACGAUUUAUUGUCUACAGGGACUUAAAACCUGCCAACAUACUAUUAGAUGAGUAUGGACAUGUACGAAUAUCAGAUUUAGGUUUAGCGUGCGACUUUUCUAAAAAGAAACCACAUGCUAGCGUGGGUACGCAUGGUUAUAUGGCACCAGAAGUGUUAUCAAAGGGAACAGCUUAUGAUUCAAGUGCAGAUUGGUUUUCUUUUGGUUGUAUGUUAUACAAACUACUUAAGGGUCACAGUCCAUUUAGACAACAUAAAACCAAGGACAAACACGAGAUUGAUCGAAUGACCCUAACAAUGUUUAUGUUGCAGAAUGUAGAACUUCCAGAUUCUUUUUCAAAAAGUUUAAAAGAUCUUUUAGAAGGACUUUUACAACGUGAUAUAAACGAAAGAAUUGGGUGUCGAGGAAGGGGGUCAGAUGAAUUGAAAGAACAUCCUUUUUUUGCGGGACUUGAUUGGCAACAAGUAUACAUGCAAAAAUAUACACCGCCUCUUAUACCACCUAGAGGAGAAGUUAAUGCUGCCGAUGCAUUUGAUAUUGGUUCAUUUGAUGAAGAAGACACAAAAGGCAUCAAAUUAACUGAUGCUGAUCAAGAACUAUAUAAGAACUUCUCUAUAACUAUAUCUGAAAGAUGGCAAAAUGAAGUUGCUGAAACAGUAUUUGAAACAGUAAAUUCUGAGGCUGAUAAAGCUGAUCAAAAAAGAAAGUCUAGGCAAAAAAAAUUCAAUGAGCACAAUGAAGAAGAAUCCGACUGCAUUCUUCAUGGAUAUAUUAAAAAAUUAGGUGGACCAUUUGCAUCUGCAUGGCAAACAAGGUAUGCUAAACUGUACCCUAACCGGUUGGAGUUGCAUUCAGAUUCAGGAUCAGUAAAAACUGAAGUUAUCACUUUAGACCAAGUAUUAGAAGUCAGUCCUGAGUUAGUAAUUGUUAAAAAUGAGCAAUGCAUUGUAUUACGUAUGAAAGAUGGAAAAGAUGGCAAACUAGUUCUUACCAACAGUGAUGAAAUUGGUUUAAAAGAGUGGGCAUUGUCUUUACGCUCUACACAUAAAUCCACACAUGAUCUGUUAAAAAAAUUGAAAAAACCAGGAAAAAUGUUCAUUCAAGAAGAAACUGAUCCACUAACAUCUACUACAAACACCAAUGGAAAUUAGUUACAUAAUAAGGUUGUUAAUGACUGUAUAUUUCCAUGCAUCAAUUUAAAUUACAUUUUUUAAAUUCAAAACUUUAACAAAAGAAAAAUUAUUUGCAUGCAAUAUCAUAAACAGUGUACACCGUUUGUCAUCACCUCAAAUUAAAUCAAUAAUAAUCUCAAUAUAAUAUUUAAAUUUUAAUGACCAUUAGCGAGAAGGGAAUAAUGUAUUUAAACAUAACAUACGGUUUAAUUGUUAAUAUUUAAAUCUUCUACCAACUUAUUGUUCUUUUUAUUGUUAUUUUAUUUAAAUAAAUAAAUAAAAAGUAUUAUUUUUAUUGUUAAUUCAUUUAAAUUUUUUAUAUCUUUUGUUACUUUAUUUAUUUAUUUUAUUGUAUUAUUAUUUAUAUUUAUUUAUUAUUAUUUUGUUAUGAUGUAUAUUAUUUAUUAAUUUAACCUAGUCUUUAAAACUGUGAACAUUACAACUUUUAUUGUUUUAAUUAGUAUUGCAAUCCCAUUGUAAUAAAUUACACAAUUAACAUCGUGUAUACACAUUUCAAUUUAAUGAAUAUUGUAAUAUUUAGAUACAAUAUAUAUCUAAUAUUAUGUUACAUAUGAUUUAAUUAGGCGUGAUUGCUUUAUAUCAAGUUAUUAAGAUUGUAUGAAAAUAUAGAUUAGAAUUAAAAAAAAUAUAUAUAUAUAUAUAUUGACUCGAUUAUCCAGUUAUGUAUAAUUAUUGUUUAGAGUUAAAAUAAAAUUUUAAAAAAAAUGUAUCAAAGUGUAAUGCAAUAAAUCCCAUUAAAUGUACACACGUAAAAUGUA